rnacentral:lncRNA from 10 species
AAGAAGCAAACAGCCUGCAGAUGGGACACUUAUUCACCCCUGAUGCAAGUGUGACUGGAGCUAUUGAAUGACUGAUGAGAUCCGUUGUAACAAUCAUUCUGGCAAAGGUGUGGAGAUGGCUCAGAGGAUUGAGCUGGGAGCAGGGUGGCCUCAGCCACAUGUGCUACCAUGGCUCUGAGCAGGAUGCCAAGAGGGUCUAACAUCCCUGAAAGAGACAGCCUCUUGCCCUGGAAAGAUGCCAGAGAGGGAAGCAGGAGACUUGAGUUCUGAUCCGGAUCUCUCUGCCGUUGGGUGAUCCCCUGCCCUCCUCUGGACCUCAGUUUCCCCAUCUCUACAGUGAGGAUAAUAAUCCUAGUGCUAUUUCCCCAUAGAAAUGUUGUGAAGCUCAAAGGUGAGACCAAAAUCACUCAUUGGACAAACUCCAGGCAGGGUGGGAGUGUUGGCUGGGUAGAUGUGGUCAUCUGCCAAGUGGCCAUGCUGAGGCUUUGGGGGCUCUACUCCCACCACCAAUGGGGUCCUUCUCAGAGACUUGCACUCUCUUCUUCCAGCUCACUCAUAUUGUGGGGCUCAGAGAAUGUUAAUUAUUAGGGCCCAGCCCACAUGGAGGGCUUAAGAUGAAAGCAAGCUCAGAGUGUAAAGUCUAAUCAAUGCCCCACACUUGGCGUCAGGGCCUCGGCUUGGUCUGCUUGGAGAUGGAUCAUUAAUCUAGACACUCCGACUUGGAACACUGGGCACAGGAAGUCCUGAAACAUUCCUGACCACCCACAGCUCAGCCUGUCAGCCCCAUGAGGCAGCCAGUCCUGCCACUGACUUGCAGAAUUUUACCAUCUCAAAGUUAGAUCAGACUCAAAGAGCAGCUGGUCUAGACUCCCACCCAGGGCAGAAGUACAGGUUCUGUUUGUACACUCGCCAUUGUCCAAGAGCUCAUUAUCCGGAGUGUGUGUGCUUGAGGAGUGGCGCUGGACUUAGAGUGGACAGAUGCAUGUGACUUGAAGCCCUGCCUUCCCCUUCUGUAAAAGUGGGAUGAGGUUAUUG